UACGGAGGGGGCUAGCGUUGUUCGGAAUUACUGGGCGUAAAGCGCGCGUAGGCGGACCUGCAAGUCGGGGGUGAAAGCCCGAGGCUCAACCUCGGAACUGCCUUCGAUACUGCGGGUCUCGAGUCCGGGAGAGGUGAGUGGAAUUCCUAGUGUAGAGGUGAAAUUCGUAGAUAUUAGGAAGAACACCAGUGGCGAAGGCGGCUCACUGGCCCGGUACUGACGCUGAGGCGCGAAAAGCGUGGGGAGCAAACAGGG
rnacentral:rRNA from 1 species